GGGGAAUAUUGCGCAAUGGGGGGAACCCUGACGCAGCCAUGCCGCGUGAAUGAAGAAGGCCUUCGGGUUGUAAAGUUCUUUCGGUAUUGAGGAAGGGAUGUGUGCUAAUAGUACAUAUCAUUGACGUUAAAUACAGAAGAAGCACCGGCUAACUCCGUGCCAGCAGCCGCGGUAAUACGGAGGGUGCGAGCGUUAAUCGGAAUAACUGGGCGUAAAGGGCACGCAGGCGGUUAUUUAAGUGAGGUGUGAAAGCCCCGGGCUUAACCUGGGAAUUGCAUUUCAGACUGGGUAACUAGAGUACUUUAGGGAGGGGUAGAAUUCCACGUGUAGCGGUGAAAUGCGUAGAGAUGUGGAGGAAUACCGAAGGCGAAGGCAGCCCCUUGGGAAUGUACUGACGCUCAUGUGCGAAAGCGUGGGGAGCAAACAGGAUUAGAUACCCUGGUAGUCCACGCUGUAAACGCUGUCGAUUUGGGGAUUGGGCUUAAAGCUUGGUGCCCGUAGCUAACGUGAUAAAUCGACCGCCUGGGGAGUACGGCCGCAAGGUUA
rnacentral:rRNA from 1 species